rnacentral:rRNA from 1 species
AGAGUUUGAUCCUGGCUCAGAACGAACGCUGGCGGCAGGCUUAACACAUGCAAGUCGAACGCCCCGCAAGGGGAGUGGCAGACGGGUGAGUAACGCGUGGGAAUCUACCCAAUUCUUCGGAACAACUGAGGGAAACUUCAGCUAAUACCGGAUGUGCCCUUAGGGGGAAAGAUUUAUCGGAAUUGGAUGAGCCCGCGUUGGAUUAGCUAGUUGGUGGGGUAAAGGCCUACCAAGGCGACGAUCCAUAGCUGGUCUGAGAGGAUGAUCAGCCACACUGGGACUGAGACACGGCCCAGACUCCUACGGGAGGCAGCAGUGGGGAAUAUUGGACAAUGGGCGCAAGCCUGAUCCAGCCAUGCCGCGUGAGUGAUGAAGGUCUUAGGAUUGUAAAGCUCUUUCACCGGUGAAGAUAAUGACGGUAACCGGAGAAGAAGCCCCGGCUAACUUCGUGCCAGCAGCCGCGGUAAUACGAAGGGGGCUAGCGUUGUUCGGAUUUACUGGGCGUAAAGCGCACGUAGGCGGACUAUUAAGUCAGGGGUGAAAUCCCGGGGCUCAACCCCGGAACUGCCUUUGAUACUGGUAGUCUUGAGUUCGAGAGAGGUGAGUGGAAUUCCGAGUGUAGAGGUGAAAUUCGUAGAUAUUCGGAGGAACACCAGUGGCGAAAGCGGCUCACUGGCUCGAUACUGACGCUGAGGUGCGAAAGCGUGGGGAGCAAACGGGAUUAGAUACCCUGGUAGUCC